CCUCACAUCGUAUUGACAGACAUUUUCUAAUACAGCAAUGGUCUUGCCUGAUCACCAGGGCAGGUAUGGCUUUCUAGUCCUCAGAGUUUCGUGUCCACAAGAUGCCAUAUUUGUGUCUUUAUUCUGCGUACCAGUAUGCACUGGUUCUGCCGUACUCAACUUCUACACAACAUAACCAUUCUCACCAGUAGAUCAUACAGACAACACAUGAGUGAUUGUGCAGUUGGGGACUGAUUUCAUGGGAGCUGUGUAGUUCCAUUGCCACAUCUGAUUGGUGUGGGUAUUUGACCUCUGCUGACCAGAUAUUGAUGGUCUAUUCUGAGGAUAAUCCAUCAAUAUAGAAGUAUCGGGACAGUCCCUUUAAGUAUUUACUUGAUUUCUCUUGAGUCUUAUGAAUACUGUCUUCUCUAGUGUUGGGGACCAGUGACGUGUUCUGGGGCACAUGUGUUGGUGACAUGUCAUUCACCACUGGUCUCCACAAGAACAUGGAGCUCCAGCAUGUCAC